rnacentral:rRNA from 1 species
GACGGAGGGGGCUAGCGUUGUCCGGAAUCACUGGGCGUAAAGCGCCCGUAGGCGGAUUUGCUAGUCACGGGUGAAAUACCGGGGCUCAACCGCGGGACUGCCUGUGAAACUGCAUGUCUCGAGUCCGAGAGAGGUGAAAGGAAUUCCCAGAGUAGAGGUGAAAUGCGUAGAUACUGGGAAGAACACCGGUGGCGAAGGCGGUCUACUGGCUCGGUACUGACGCUGAGGGGCGAAAGCUAGGGGAGCAAACAGG